UGCAGAGAGCGUAAAGGCUCAGCUGUCAAAAUGAUUCGCAUUACAUUGCUAUGUAAUUCCAAUGCUGCAACCGUGUUGCUAUAGGGAUUAACAAAAUCUUUCGAAUUCAAACAAUUAAAAACAUUUGUGACAAAUGUACGUUGUCAUAUUUUGUGAAAAGUGCCUGUGAACAGAGGGAAAUUUGUUAGAAAAUGAAUGUUUAAUAAUUUCACGUCAUUUAAACCGGUCAGUGCCAUAUAUAUUUGUUGGGUGAUAACUGUUAGUCGUACAUUAUCGACAAAUUUAAGAGACCAUAGAACACCGUUAAAUUACAUAAUUAUUAAACAAUUAUUAUUUUCGAAUCUGAUUUUCGUUGGAAGAAUUCCGGUUUACACGAUCAGUGGCGCCAACUACAACUCAGCCGUCACUUAUAAGUCAGGAGUACUACAGUCGAUGCAUACAGGUGCAUACAGGAGUACUACGCGAGUACUACACGAAAUUGUAAGAGUGUGAAAAAUCAGGAAGGCAGGAAGCAUGUGAAGAAAAGCUGGUUCCAAAGAAGACAAAUAGAAAAUAUAAUGGACGAGUCUACAAAUGUUAACACAUGUGACUCGUCUGAAGAAUGCGACAAAAAGUGCGAAUGCAGCCCUAAAAUGAAAGUCGUCUACAGGCAGAAUAUGCUGAUCUUUAC